GGCGUGAGGAAACGGUUUUCGUGAUGCAGGCAGGAGAGAGUAAGAGGCCGUUGGACAUCUUUAAAAACAUUAAAUGUCAGAGGUCUGGAGAGCAGACGGCCUGACUAAUGAACAUCUACGAGAGAAGAAAAAGCCCCGACUAGCUGAGCAGAUCUCCUUGAUGUAAGUCAUCCUGAUCUCAUCAAAAACCGCCUGGCUCUUCAGGCCUUCUUUUGGAACUACACACAUGGAACAAGAAAACACACAGAGAUGACUGUGGGUGUAGCUUAGAUGGAAAUAAAUAUAAUCUUCAAAU